rnacentral:lncRNA from 1 species
CAACAAUAACUCCUUACCUGAGAAGUCUAUAUGCAUACAAUAAGAAGCACCCUCAUAUGUCGUAGUCGAAGUACUCAAACUUGAUGCUCUUGAAUUUAGCAAUGCAUCAACAAGGAUGGUUUUGGUCUUUUGAGGGAGUGAUAAUAGAUCAUCCACAUUGAACCUUGAAAAGUUUUUUGACACUCCCUCCUCUUCUAGUG